CACGUAGGGCGCAAGCGUUGUCCGGAAUUAUUGGGCGUAAAGAGCUCGUAGGCGGUCUGUUGCGUCCGCUGUGAAAACUCGGGGCUUAACCCCGAGCCUGCAGUGGAUACGGGCAGACUAGAGGUAGGUAGGGGAGAAUGGAAUUCCCGGUGUAGCGGUGAAAUGCGCAGAUAUCGGGAGGAACACCGGUGGCGAAGGCGGUUCUCUGGGCCUGUUCUGACGCUGAGGAGCGAAAGCGUGGGGAGCGAACAGG
rnacentral:rRNA from 1 species